CUUUCAUGAAAAUUAUUAAUAUUAUAGAUUAUAGAUAGAUGAUAAAUAGGCUAAAUUAUAGAAAACUUAUUUAUAAGGGUUAAUUGCAUACGCGUUCCUGCAAAUAUGGUGAAUUACAGAUAUAUCCCUACUGUUGAUACCAAAAUUGAGCUGACCUAACCCACGUAUAAGCCAAUAAGGACACGUGGUACACCAGGAGUCGGCAAUAAGGCGCCUGAAGGACAAGAAGGCGGGAACGGUUGAAGAUUGGGACGUAACUUUCAUGAGGAGUUAGCGUAACUUCCAUGAGGAGUUAGUAUAACUUCCACGAUCAUGGUUACAACCACUUCCCCAAACUACUUUCAACCAACUAAUAAUGUGGGCUAUAAAUAGUAACUUUGAAGCCUGCAAUAGGGGUCUUCGCCCCUGCGCACAAAAGACCACCCUUAUUUCCUCUGCAUUUUAUCGCUUUUCUAGAAGUAGUCUAAAUGUAAUCUUUUUCUUUUCCGCAUUUACCGCUUUCCUAGGAGUAGUUCUUGUAAUUUAGAUCUUUAGAGUCUGUCUGCCCCACGGGCAUCACUCCCUUAUAGAUCUUUGGAGUCUGUCUACCCCAUGGGCAUCACUCCCUUGUAGAAUAUACUUG
rnacentral:lncRNA from 1 species